rnacentral:lncRNA from 1 species
UCGGGGUUUCACGAAUUUUGGGGCUUAGAGUUCCGAUUGAAAAGAUUAGGGUUUGAAUUGGGAAAAAUUAUUUUGGGUUUCUGAUUUUCACCUUUUGGAUUCUCGCGGUGGUUGCGAUAGCAGUGGCAACCGUUUCGUGGUGGUUGUCGGAGUUGCGCGAGUGGUGUCGCCGGUGGGUGCUGUCUGGGUGUUGCGGUGGCUGGCCG